UACGGAGGGGCUAGCGUUGUUCGGAAUUACUGGGCGUAAAGCGCACGUAGGCGGCUUUGCAAGUUAGAGGUGAAAGCCCGGGGCUCAACUCCGGAAUUGCCCUUUAAAACUGCAUCGCUAGUAAUGUGAGAGGGUAAGUGGAAUUCCGAGUGUAGAGGGUGAAAUUCGUAGAUAUUCGGAAGAAACACCAGUGGCGAAGGCGACUUACUGGACACAUAUUGACGCUGAGGUGCGAAAGCGUGGGGAGCAAACAGGAU
rnacentral:rRNA from 1 species